rnacentral:rRNA from 1 species
CGGCACGGGUGAGUAACACGUAUCCAACCUGCCGUCUACUCUUGGACAGCCUUCUGAAAGGAAGAUUAAUACAAGAUGGCAUCAUGAGUUCACAUGUUCACAUGAUUAAAGGUAUUCCGGUAGACGAUGGGGAUGCGUUCCAUUAGUUUGUUGGCGGGGUAACGGCCCACCAAGACUACGAUGGAUAGGGGUUCUGAGAGGAAGGUCCCCCACAUUGGAACUGAGACACGGUCCAA